rnacentral:rRNA from 1 species
UACGUAGGGUGCAGGCGUUAAUCGGAAUUACUGGGCGUAAAGCGUGCGCAGGCGGCUCCUUAAGUCAGAUGUGAAAUCCCCGGGCUUAACCUGGGAACUGCGUUUGAAACUGAGGGGCUUGAGUGUGGAAGAGGGGGGUGGAAUUCCAGGUGUAGCAGUGAAAUGCGUAGAUAUCAGGAGGAACACCGAUGGCGAAGGCAGGUCUCUGGGCUGACACUGACGCUCAUGCACGAAAGCGUGGGGAGCAAACAGG